UCCCUGGUGGUCUAGUAGUUAAGGGUCUGGCACUGUCACUGCCGUGACACAGGUUUGAUCCUUGGCCUGGGAA
rnacentral:tRNA from 1 species